CAGCCGCCACGGUAACACGAAGGGGGCUAGCGUUGCUCGGAAUUACUGGGCGUAAAGGGAGCGUAGGCGGACUGUUUAGUCAGAGGUGAAAGCCCAGGGCUCAACCUUGGAAUUGCCUUUGAUACUGGCGGUCUUGAGUACGGAAGAGGUAUGUGGAACUCCGAGUGUAGAGGUGAAAUUCGUAGAUAUUCGGAAGAACACCAGUGGCGAAGGCGACAUACUGGUCCGUUACUGACGCUGAGGCUCGAAAGCGUGGGGAGCAAACAGGAUUAGAUACCCGCGUAGUCCCUGUCUCUUAUAC
rnacentral:rRNA from 1 species